rnacentral:tRNA from 1 species
GAAUGUAUAGCUCAGUGGUAAAGCUUGUGCUUAGCAUGCACAAAGUCCUGGGUUUAAUCCCUAGUACCUCCG